rnacentral:rRNA from 1 species
GACGAACGCUGGCGGCGUGCUUAACACAUGCAAGUCGAGCGGUAAGGCCCUUUCGGGGGUACACGAGCGGCGAACGGGUGAGUAACACGUGGGUGACCUGCCUGUAGCUCUGGGAUAAGCCUGGGAAACUGGGUCUAAUACCGGAUAUGACUCCAUGAUGCAUGUUGUGGGGUGGAAAGCCUUGUGCGGCUGGAGAUGGGCCCGCGGCCGUAUCAGCUUGUUGGUGGGGUGAUGGCCUACCAAGGCGACGACGGGUAGCCGGCCUGAGAGGGCGACCGGGCCACACUGGGACUGAGACACGGCCCAGACUCCUACGGGAGGCAGCAGUGGGGAAUCUUGCGCAAUGGGCGAAAGCCUGACGCAGCGACGCCGCGU